GGUGGCUCAGUGGUAGAGUGCUUGCCUUGCAUGCAUGAGGCCCUGGAUUCAAUUCCCCAGCACCA
rnacentral:tRNA from 1 species